rnacentral:rRNA from 1 species
GACGAACGCUGGCGGCGUGCUUAACACAUGCAAGUCGAACGGAAAGGCCCUGCUUUUGUGGGGUGCUCGAGUGGCGAACGGGUGAGUAACACGUGAGUAACCUGCCCUUGACUUUGGGAUAACUUCAGGAAACUGGGGCUAAUACCGGAUAGGAGCUCCUGCUGCAUGGUGGGGGUUGGAAAGUUUCGGCGGUUGGGGAUGGACUCGCGGCUUAUCAGCUUGUUGGUGGGGUAGUGGCUUACCAAGGCUUUGACGGGUAGCCGGCCUGAGAGGGUGACCGGCCACAUUGGGACUGAGAUGCGGCCCAGACUCCUACGGGAGGCAGCAGUGGGGAAUAUUGCACAAUGGGCGGAAGCCUGAUGCAGCAACGCCGCGUGCGGGACGACGGCCUUCGGGUUGUAAACCGCUUUCGCCUGUGACGAAGCGUGAGUGACGGUAAUGGGUAAAGAAGCACCGGCUAACUACGUG